rnacentral:lncRNA from 1 species
GAGGUUCGGCUCUGUUUAGGGGUUUCGGCCUCCGAAAGUAGCCCCCGAAAGGGUUCGGCCGCCGAAAGAGGAUAUUCGGCCGCCGAAGGUACUUGAGUUUCGGCUCUGUUCAGGACAUUCGGCCGCCGAACCUGCCGCCGAAUGUGUUCUGUCCAGCCUUUUUUUGCAUGCUUUGUGUGAUUGUUUUAGAGGUUCAGAAGGGGUUAUGGGGGAUUGUUUAAGAGUUGAUAAGAGUAUGUUUGACACCUCAUUCGAGUCCAUUUGUGUAGGAUUGGACCCGACAGUUCAG